GACGAACGCUGGCGGCGUGCCUAAUACAUGCAAGUCGAACGCAGUUGCGAACGGGUGAGUAACGCGUCGGCCACUGCCUAUUAGAGGGUGAUAACUAUUGGAAACGAUAGCUCAUACCGCAUCCUACUAGAUGGACCUGCGUUGUAUUCGGUAGUCGGUAGGGUAAUGGCCUACCUAGGCGACGAUACAUCGCCGAACUGGGAGGGUGAUCCAGCACAAUGGGAACGAGACCAGGCCCAGACUGCCACGGGAGGGAGGCGGAGGGGAACAUUGGCAAAGGGGGGAACGCUGGCCGCGGAACUGCGCGGGAGAGGAGAAGGUCUUCGGAUCGUAAAGCUCUGUUGUUAAGGAAGCGGUACUUAAACAGAAAGGGACGGCUAACUACGUGCCAGCAGCCGCGGUAAUAC
rnacentral:rRNA from 1 species